ACCAGCUUAAAUGAUGGAUCGGAACAUCGCCGAGUGAGUGAUAAGGGUUCUCCUAGAAACGCUGUUUGUUUAAUUGGCACUAAUGGAUCUUUGCAUUGUGCAUGGACGCUACACCUCCUCAGUUUUCCCGAAUCCUAUUACCAUUUGGCCUGUUGUACGCCAACCAUCUUCGCUAGAAAGUCCGCCGUGUUAUGAUACUCAUCUCGCCCUUACACAGUCGUCCGGAAAGCACAUAUCGGAUUAUGUAUUCAUGAUCAAAGAGAUGAUGUUUGUUAUUCUCUGCGCGUGUCUCGGCUAAUGGUCGGAUCGUUUCGUAACGACGCGGUUGGUGAGGGAGGGCUAUUGAUCAUAUAGGAUUAACCCAGUCGCCAGUUUGUCUUUUUGACGCCGCGGUCGGUUGGUUGUAUAACACAUCCCUACAUGUCUGCUAUUAUGUUGUCUGUGUGUGUGUGUGUGUGUGUGUGUGUAACACAAGUUGAUUAAUGUUGGCUCGUUAGUGGCUAUAAGCUCUAGGGAAACGUGCCUUUCAAGCUCCGAGCUGAAUAGGCCUGCGAAGUCGAUCAUACAGAUCAUCAUCAUCAGUAAGUUUAUAAGAUGGAAAUUUAUGGGCCAACAGCUGAUUCCCGAUGAGCCGUGAAGAAUGCCUGAUGUGAUGGAAGAUAGUUUUUCUCCUUUUAUAUCUUGUGUUUUUUUGCAGGAUUGACGUUUGUUGUCAGCAAGAGAGAGACGUCAAAGCAGAAAAACAGAAGCGAAUAUUAUAGAAUCUUGGCAUUAUAUUGUCUCGAUGUGUUCCUUGGGUUUUGCUAUUCGCUCUACAUCGAUAUUAUAUAUUUCCAUCCGGAAGAGAACAGCGAACGGGAAGAUAUCCUUUGAUCCUUGACAAUGCCUUUUGCCAGUUUAUCGCACUCGGCUUGAUAGCAAGAAUGUGAGUCACUGUUCAGCUCCCAGCGUCUUGGAUGUUUGACUGGUUGCUCUCUGUUGUACGAUGGCUUCAGUCCUGCGGGACGACCGGCCUGUCAUCAUCAUUUUCCCCGUCCACUGUCAACUCGUGAGGAUAUUGAAGAGGGACGUAUGAAAAGAAAAAAUGGAAAUGUAAAUACUCCCUUGGUGAAAGAGAAAAAAGGAUGGUCUAUGUUUAUCGGGCAAAUGCCGAACGUUACAGUAUCAACCGGCCGGGAGGCAGUUUUUACUUGCAUCAUUGAUAAUGUCUACAAUUUUAAGGUGGCGUUCCUGCGAGUAGAUACGCAAACAAUUUUAGCCAUUGACGACACGGUUAUUACUCGAUCGGCCCGCGUUACGGUCCGCCAUUCCAUCGAUAAGGACGAGCGUCUGAGUACCGGCCAGCGCAAAACGUGGCAGUUGUAUCUGAAGGAAGUGACGCCCGCCGACGCUGGUGGUUACAUGUGCCAAUUAAACAAUUUCGAACCGAUGGUCAGUCAAGUGGCUUACCUUCACGUGACAGUACCGCCGGACAUACUGGUGAACGAGAGCAGCAGUGAUUUGGCAAUUAAAGAAGGCGGCAAUGCAACGCUCAAGUGUAGCGCUAUUGGAUAUCCGGAGCCAAACAUCACCUGGCGUCGCGAAGACUAUCAACCCAUCGAUAUGAAUCAAAGUGUGGGAGUAGUGGAAGGUUCCAUUUUGAAUCUAGUCGGCGUUCACCGCCGACAGAUGGCUGCCUACCUCUGCAUCGCUUCCAAUGGAAUUCCGCCCCCUGUUAGCAAGCGCAUUCUACUCAGAGUCGAAUUUGCUCCGGCUGUAACGUCACAUCAAAGGGAAGUAUUUCAGCGACUGGGCGAACCACUGAAACUCCAUUGUCAGUGCCACAGCUGGCCGCAAGGAUAUACUUCGUGGACUUACGAGUCUAAUCGGCUUCCCUCAGAGAAAGCGGCUGUUGAUUAUCGACCGCAAGCAGGACUGGUCGCUACGGACAUGUAUCUCAAUAUUGCCGAUAUGCAACCGCAGGAUAAAGGUAAUUACACCUGUCACUGCUCCAACAUUCACGGAACAGCCAAUUGGACCAUAUCUGUCGAGGUCGUUGCUAUGGAUGCCGUUCAACAGAGAAGAAUGGCGCACUCAUCUUGGAGUGCGGAACAUGAAGAAGACGAACACGAAAACUUGGAAAAUGAAGAUGAAUUUUCCAGUCCACCACCAGAAACAACAACAACGAGGCAAACAACAAUCGUCCAGUUAUCAACAACGGAUACAACGACGAGAAAAACUAUCGACGCUAAUUACCGAGUGACACAAGAAACGAAAAGAAGUGACGACGAUCCGCCUUUCCUGCGCCAACAGAAGAAGGCCAGCAAUAAGGCCGGAUUGCCGACAUCUUUGACGUCAAAGGCUUCAGCAAACAUAAGCAGUCUAUUUCUCUUGUUGUUGUUGAUCACUUCCCUGAUCGAUAAUCAGCAUCCUCUAGCGUGAUGAGCCUCCCUUUUAAAAAGGAAGUAUACAUAUUGAGCUUUUUAUCCUUUUUUUUUUUUUUUGUUAUUGUGCGCGUAUGUGUAAAUAGACUAUGACGAUUGAUUAAAAUAAUGCAACCGGGGUUCUUUUCUGCUGCCUUCCCCCCCCCCCUCAUUGUUUUUGUUCUUCCAAAAUCGAUCGCGCAAAAAAGCGAAAACAUCAAAAUAGAAUAGAAACAAGAUAAAGUAUUUCUUGUUUUGGAAGGGGAGGAAUAGAAGAGUGUCGCAACACAUCACGUUAUUGGGACAAUUCGUCGCCCACGGGAAACUGCAUCAGAUGGCGCUGAGGGCAUGAAAGAUUCAACACAACCGAAAGGCCAGCCAAAAAAUAAAAAAAAUGAUGUGAUUUACGGGAACUGGUUCGGGCUUGUCGCAGCUCGGCAAAUGUAUUCGAUUGAGGCGGGAUUAUAUCCAGCGCAUCUGACUUUUCAAAAAAAUAAAUAAAUAAAAAUUUGAAAGUGUUUUACAAAUACACAAGCCUAUCCUUCCUCUCUA
rnacentral:misc_RNA from 1 species